rfam:Triticum urartu cultivar G1812 contig727945, whole genome shotgun sequence.
CAUAUACUCCCUCCAUCCGGAAAUACUUGUCCGAGGAAUGGAUGUAUCUAGAUGUAUUUUAGUUCUAAAUACGUCCAUUUGUAUCCAUUUCUAUGACAAGUAUUUCCGGACAGAGGGAGUAUAAU